AUACGGAGGAUCCGAGCGUUAUCCGGAUUUAUUGGGUUUAAAGGGUGCGUAGGUGGUUUGAUAAGUCAGCGGUGAAAGUUUGCAGCUUAACUGUAAAAAUGCCGUUGAAACUGUCGGACUUGAGUGUAAAUGAGGUAGGCGGAAUGCGUGGUGUAGCGGUGAAAUGCAUAGAUAUCACGCAGAACUCCGAUUGCGAAGGCAGCGUACUAAGCUACAACUGACACUGAAGCACGAAAGCGUGGGGAUCAAACAGGAUUAGAUACCCUGGUAGGCCACGCAGUAAACGAUGAUUACUAGCUGUUUGCGAUACACAGUAAGCGGCACAGCGAAAGCGUUAAGUAAUCCACCUGGGGAGUACGCCGGCAACGGUGAAACUCAAAGGAAUUGACGGGG
rnacentral:rRNA from 1 species